rnacentral:rRNA from 1 species
AACGAACGCUGGCGGCAUGCCUAACACAUGCAAGUCGAACGAGACCUUCGGGUCUAGUGGCGCACGGGUGCGUAACGCGUGGGAACCUGCCCUUAGGUUCGGAAUAACUCCCCGAAAGGGGUGCUAAUACCGGAUAAUGUCUUCGGACCAAAGAUUUAUCGCCUUUGGAUGGGCCCGCGUUGGAUUAGCUAGUUGGUAGGGUAACAGCCUACCAAGGCGACGAUCCAUAGCUGGUCUGAGAGGAUGAUCAGCCACACUGGGACUGAGACACGGCCCAGACUCCUACGGAAGGCAGCAGUGGGGAAUAUUGGACAAGGAGCGAAAGUCUGAUCCAGCAAUGCCGCGUGAGUGAUGAAGGCCUUAGUGUUGUAAAGCUCUUUUACACGGGAUGAUAAUGACAGUACCGGGAGAAUAAGCUCCGGCUAACUCCGUG